CUUUUGCUACGGUGGAAACACCCCCGACGAGACGCGCCGUACCGGGACAAGGGCAAAGACGACGCACU
rnacentral:ncRNA from 1 species